ensembl:snoRNA
GCAUGGUAAUGGACUUAUGGCAGACACUUCUCUGGGGACCUCUAAUAGUGCACCUGUGCCAGAGUGAACUCCAGCCUCUAACCAUUGUCCAGCUAUCUUACCUGUGUGCUGUGAGCACUGAAGAAGGUUGCACAAUU